UCAGGGGCUGCUGUCCUGCUUUCAAUGACUUCUGUCUUCUUCCGGAAUACCGAAGAAAACUCUGCUGGGCUGGGCUCCCAUUGUUGGGUGAGAUGAAGUUUCCUGAGGUUAUUCUUGAGGCAACCUGCGAGCCAAGGGCCUGUUCUCCAGAGCACCGGAGUCCGCAGGCAGGACCAAGGCCAGCUUCAGCAUCCUGGCAAAAGUAAGCUGACGCGAUUCUUCAGUACAGCUCUCUCUGCUUGUUACCAUUUACAGUGUGGCUUGUUUGCAUGGAAGGAGAAGGCUGUUGUCCAAUGGCAGUGAGAAAAACCGGCUCAAAUACAACUGCAUUACGAGAGCUGUUGCUUCUGCAUGGCUCAGCCAUCCAAAGGCAGGAAAUGCAACGUGGAGGCUUUAUGCGACCAUAUAAGCCUUUUUUCUGAAAUGUGCAAAGACUCAGUGGUUGCCUGCUGUUUUUCAUGUGCAGGUUUCCUCGUCCAGGUCAAACUCGCUCUAUACUUUCUCCAGCUGGUGAAGAGCUUUUCAGCCCCCAGUUGUUUCAAACUCUUGUCAGAGGCAGAGCAAGAGCUCCCAGAAGCCCGGCCUUAGGCUCUGCCUCAAGGUCCUGGGGACCAGGAAAGGCAGCUCUGCCUAUGACCUAAGAGGCCGACCCUCUGUAGCCCUAAAGGGAGAUAUGACCUGAUUAAGGAGUGAUUUUUGGACUGGAGGGAAUUCAUUUCCCGUCCCCUGUCCUGCUUGCAGCUGCAGAGCAACUGACAGAAGCGGGAGCAAGUCACAGAAACGGGAGGAUGCCUCCUGUCCUCUGCCAACACAAAGAGGACGAGUAGAAGCCCUAACCUAGAAUUACACACGAGCUCACUGGACUUUUUCCAUCUUGCCUCUUUCUCAGGAGUUUUCUGGCUCAUCUGGCAUUUCAUCCUGCUGAGCGUAACGUCUCCUCAGCGCUUUGUGCUCCACGUUUUGGGCACUAUUGCAAGGUAAAGCUGAGGCAGCACCUUUUCUUGAGAGUGGGGGGAGAACAGUCUCGGCACAAGUACCGACUGGAUGGUGGGCAGGAGAAGCGGGUGUGAAUUAUGUCCUUUGCGUCUCCAAAGAAUCGCCUCUACUCCCUUAGGCAGGAAGUACGGCCCUAGCUUUUGUUGGCACUGCUUCUCCUGGUCUGGAGUUAAUCCUCCAUCCCUAGCUCCCCUAUGCCAAUCCUCACCCUCCCAAAUGCCCCACUGCCACAGUGGCUGAAAGCUUGACCACUGACUGGAGCUCGUGCGCGAGCAGGCCACUUCCCAAGUCAGUAACGCCAGGUGCAAGAGCUGCAGUUGCUACUGCUGCUCUGGAGCCUGCUUAGGGCCUGCACAGCUGCAGCCAGCUUCACCCUUCUUUUCCUCCAUGCUCCUCCACAGGCAAAAGAAGGCUCGGAAGACAGUUCUCCUGGUGCUGCUUGCUCUGUUUGCCUCCCUUCUUGGUGAGUGUCUGUAGAGCCCCGAAGUCACGGUGGUUCUUUACGAGAGACCCCGUGCUUGCUUCUGCUUGGGUCCAUGUAGACGGCUGUGGCCAGAGGAGCCCAACUAGGAGCAGGAAGGCCCUGAGAGAGGGCUGCCCCGCUUCCACGUGCCUCAGAGCAACGGGGGUGGGCACAGGGUGACUUGCUUUUCCCCGGAGCUGAAGCUAAGUCUCCUAAGCCUGGGGAGCGGCAGUGGCUAGCCUGCUUGCCCCAGGAAGUGGGGAAGCUUCCUUCAGGAGAGAGCAGCAUGUCCCGGGGAAGGAAUCUUCAUCUCUUCAGAGGCCCCUCUUCCAUCAUCCUCUCUUCCCGAGAAGAAGAGAGGAGACACAAUGAUGGCAUCUGUGCCUGACCCUCAGAGUGCAGCAGGCAGCCCUAUGGAGGGAGGCAGCUGGUUAAGGUUUCAUGAGGCGCUAACAAAGCCUGGGAGAUCCCCGUGCUGGCUUGUCACCCUUCCCAAGCAGUCUCCAGCCGCAGGAGCACUUGCAGCCUGUCUUUUGCUGGCACACCAACUCACGCACAGCUUCCUAACAUCAGCUGGGUGUCAGCAUGCCUGAAGGACUGGAGCCCUACUUGCACACAGCUCUUCUGGCAUGAGCAAGUUCGAAGUGUAAAGAGAGCUUUGGUUUGUGACCAACAGGUGUUUACCACGUGGGGCUGCUGGAUGAAGGAAGCAUCCGGACGACCGCAGCAGCAGCGAGGGCCUACAUCUUCUCCUCCUUUCAACCUAUCUGUCAGCAGGUGACAUUCUGGGUGCCUCAAAUCCAGGCUGCUUCUGCCAGUCUUAACCCAAGGGCAUCAAGGGUGGCUUUGUUAAAAGGCCCUUUCUUGCGGGGGCUAGCGCAAGGUCCACGAGCCACCAUUGCCAGGUCUGUCAGGUGAAGGUAAACUGCCCAAACACCAGUGCCUUAACAUGAAGCUCCUGGUAUAGGGCACAGCUGAAAAUGGACCGCUGUUAUGCACGUGGUUACCUCAAAGUACUGGGUUGUUUCUGAAAUCUUGAGUCUUUUGGUCUGGCUCAUUCUUUGCCCAGCCGUUCAACACAGCAACCACUAAAAAGUGUGUCUGUGUGUGUUGUCUGUGUGUGUGUGCACGUGCACAUGCCUAAUAAAGCCAGCAGCUUUAUAGUAA